rnacentral:pre_miRNA from 1 species
AGUGGGAUAACUGGGUCAAAUGGUGGUUCCAUUCCAAGUUUUCUAAGGAAUAUCCAUACUGCUUUCCAGAGUGGUUGCACCAAUUUUAAUUCCCACCAGCAAU